CUCCUAUCAGCUAGCAUAAUAGAACAUUGUAAACCCUAAACCCUAAUCCUAAUCAUAAAUUCUUUAUUCUUAAAAAUGCAACAUAAAAUAUAAUAUACCAGCAAAUAUACCACCAGUGUCCUAAAAUAAAAUUAAUCACCUAUUCGGUGACGAAAUCGGGAGCACGCAAAGACAAUCCGCAGCUGCAACCCUAAACCCUCAAAAUAUACAUUUUGUAUUAAAUUAAAAAUUGAAAAUAAAAGAUUAUAGAAAUUUUAAAAAAAUGCCCUGUUUGAGUUGAAUCAUCUGUUUCGGUUGUGUCCGAAUUAGCUCCGAAAUCGUUCCCAAUUUCGGACGCCCAUGACUGAAGGAAUGCGUCACAGGUACUGGGAUGGACAGUGGAGCAGUUGAGAUGCGACCUCCUACCAAUGGAGAAAGGCGAGGCCGAGAGACACCUUCGAGACGGCUUCGGACACGAGAUGUGUGGAACGAGCGCUGCCGAACUUCUGCCCGAUGGAGUGGAGUACCCUGCGAGCGAGAGCGAGAGAAAGAGAAAGGGGAGAGAGCGAGAUGACGAGAGGCGAGGGAGCGAGAGAAAGCGAGGAAGCGAGAGAGAGCGAGAAACAGAAAUAGCGAGAGGAGCUGUGCGGGAGAGAGAAGUGUAGUAGGGUUUAAUUUAAGUUAGCUUUAGCAAGAAGUAAAAAAGGUGUGAGGUUAGAAGCUACUGUGCUAGUGGGUUAAUAUCAGCCAUUGGAUCUGAUAGUUGUAGGAUAUACACCUUUUUAUAGGAGUACAGGUAAACUUUUCCUAUGCUUUAAUAGCAUCUACGAAUUUCUUGUAAACACCCUUCUCUUUAUCAAAAUGACUCUGCAUGCCCAAAAAUAAAUAAAUAUUAAAUAAAUAAAAAUAAAAAUAAAAAUAAAAAUU
rnacentral:lncRNA from 1 species